GAUGAACGCUGGCGAGAUGCUUUACACAUGCAAGUCAUACGAGAGUUUUUAACUCAAGUGGCGGACGGGUGAGUAACACGUAAGAAUUUACCUUUAGGAGGGGGAUAACAUACGCUAAUAUAUAUUAGCUUUGAGAAAUUGGUGCUAAUACCCCAUAUGCUUUCGAGUGAAAUGGAUUUUUCCGCCUAGAGAGAAGCUUGCGUCUGAUUAGCUUGUUGGUAAGGUAAUGGCUUACCAAGGCGACGAUCAGUAUCUGGUUUGAGAGGAUGAUCAGACACACUGGAACUGAGACACGGUCCAGACUCCUACGGGAGGCAGCAGUGGGGAA
rnacentral:rRNA from 1 species